rnacentral:tRNA from 1 species
GUCCUUGUAGCUCAGCUGGAUAGAGCAUUGGUUUGCGGAACCAAAGGUCGUAGGUUCAAAUCCUGCCAAGGACA